AGUGAACGCUGGCGGUAGGCCUAACACAUGCAAGUCGAACGGCAGCACAGUAAGAGCUUGCUCUUACGGGUGGCGAGUGGCGGACGGGUGAGGAAUACAUCGGAAUCUACUUUUUCGUGGGGGAUAACGUAGGGAAACUUACGCUAAUACCGCAUACGACCUACGGGUGAAAGCAGGGGAUCUUCGGACCUUGCGCGAUUGAAUGAGCCGAUGUCGGAUUAGCUAGUUGGCGGGGUAAAGGCCCACCAAGGCGACGAUCCGUAGCUGGUCUGAGAGGAUGAUCAGCCACAUGGGAACGGAGACACGUUCCAGCCCCUACGGGAGGCAGCAGUGGGGAAUAUUGGACAAUGGGCGCAAGCCUGAUCCAGCCAUACCGCGUGGGUGAAGAAGGCCUUCGGGUUGUAAAGCCCUUUUGUUGGGAAAGAAAAGCAGCAGGUUAAUACCCCGCUGUUCUGACGGUACCCAAAGAAUAAGCACCGGCUAACUUCGUG
rnacentral:rRNA from 1 species